UCUAGACGAAAGCAUAGGAAGAAGAUGGAUUAAGGUGGCUUAAUGAUGGAUUAAAAGAUGGUGAUGGUGUUUCCGGCGUUACUAAGGCAAACACGAGGGAGAAGGAUUAAGGAUGGAUUAACAAAUGAGAUUAGGAUGAUUGAAGAGGUAAUGACUUUGCUUAGGAUUUAAUGACUUUGAUUAGUGUUGUUAAUGGUGAUUAUAGUUUAUUUAGUGAUUAAUUAUGGAUUGAUGAUGGUUUAAUUGGUGAUUAAUGUUGAUUAGUUGACGAUAUGAAUAGGUAGACUAAUGAAUAGAUUAUAUUACUAUUCAAUAAUGAUUUUUGGUGGUUAUGAUUGAUAAUUGAAUUAAUAGUGGAUUAAUGAAGAUUAUUAGUAGUGAUGUGAUUAUUGGCUAUUAAUUAAUUAAUGAUGAUUAAAGCAAAUGGUGGGUUGAUUAUGGAAUAUUAAUCAAUGAUGAUGGCUAGUGAUUAAUAGUUGAUAAAGUUAAGAUUAAAUGUUUUUUUUUUUGAAGAAUUAAGAUUAAAUGUUGAUUAUUGGAUAAUAAUGAUUAAAUUAUGGGAGUUGAUUAAUGGUGAUUAUGGACUAGGAUUAUGGAUGAUGAAUGUCAUUAAUAUUGAUUAAUAAUGAUGAUGUGAUUAUGGUUCUUGAUUAAGAAAUGAUUGUGGAUUAAUAAUAUGGAUUGAUUAUGGAUAAUUAUGUUGAUUAAUUAAUGUUGGUGAAGUUUAAUAAUGAGGUGUUUGAAUAAAGAUGAUAUUAUUAGUGGUUAUGUUGUUGAUAAUGCUUAUGAGCUAUUAAGGGGUUAAAGAGGGUGAUUAGCAUGCUAAUGGAAGUUAAUGAUUAAGAUAGUGAUUAGUAUUAAAUGGGUUUAUUGGAUGAUGAUGGGCUAUUGAUAAAGUAAUCUUGGUUUAAGGGUGUUUAAUACUAAGACUAUGGUUGGUGAUGCAUCAUGGUUGAGGAUUAAGAUUGAUGUUGAUUAGUGAGUUGGCAAUGAGGAAAUAAUUGGAUGAAUGAGGUGGAUGGUGAAGAAGGGUUUGUUGUAAGAAAGGAGAUGCCAUUGUGAUAACUAUGAUGUUGUUGAGUUAGUGAGAAUGAUAAUGAUGUUAUAUGGGAUUGAUGAUGGAAUAAAGAUUGGUUGGCUCGCAGGUUCCUCGUUGAAGUGUUUAGCUUAAAAGUUGAGCCUUGGAUUGGACGUUUGGCUUUUGGAGCUUAGCAUGAGGACUUGGACUUGUGGCUAGUGAGAGCGUGGCGUAGAACUUGUACCCGAGCUUUGGUUAUGGUAUAACCUGUAUAGUUAGAAGUGAAUUGAUGUUGUAGUUAGAUAUGGUUUAGAAUGAAGGAUUGGUUGUACUUAAAUUUGUAGAUAGAAAUCCUUGUAGCCUGUGCGUUUGGGUUUAGAUUCUAGCCCAAGCGUGGCAUAGCACCCCAUAGUUUAAGUUUUAGUUUCGCUUCCGCAUUUAUUUUCCGAAUGGUUAGCAAGAAUUAUUGUUUAUUUAUGUUUAA